GGUACCGGCGGUACGAUCCGAUCGAGCGGACAAUUUGAAAAAUGGCUGUGCGCAGAAUUGAAUACAGUAUAAUAAUAAUGAUCAAUGAUUUACUUGUUAUUGAAUUCAUAUAAAUCUAAGCAAAGGAAGAAAACUCGCCAUUCUUUCCGGGAGACGUGACUCUAUCAUUUCUAACCACAUUUGGAACACUUAUAGAAAGGGACAGAGCUUGUGGCCUAGAGAAAAUUCCUAUCCCUUUUGAGAACUCAAAUCAUCGAUGAUGGCAUCCUAACUGGCCUUCCUCUGUGUCAAAGACAACUGUGAAUUAGAUCAAGGAUGAUGGUGCCCCAGUGGACUUCCUCUACAUGAAGACAACUGUGAACUCUGUCAACGAUGAUUACGUCCAUCUGGCUUCCACUAUGUCAAAGACAACUGUGAACUAGAUCAAGGAUGAUGGUGCCCCAGUGGACUUCCUUUGCAUGAAGACAACUGUGAACUUGGUCAAAGAUGAUGAUGUCCAAACAGAUUUCUUGUACACAAUGGAGAAACAUACCGGUAGCUCAUGGCCUAGAGAAGAUUCCUCAUUCCAUAUUGAGAACUCAGGCAUUGUUGAUGGCAUCCCAGUGGAUGUCCUCUACAUCAAAGACAAAUAUGAACUUGGUCAUCGAUGAUGGCAUCCCAACGAAUUUCCUCUACAUCAAAGAAAAUUGUGGAUGCGGUCGAUGGUGGCAUCCUGAUUAAUUUUCUCUACGUCAAAGAUAACUGUGGACGCGGUUGACGAUGAUGGUGUCCUGGUGAAUUUUGAACUUGCCACUUGGUCAACGAUGGUGGCAUCCCAACUGAUUUCCUCUUCUACAAAGGCAGCUAAGAACUCAGGUCAAUGAUGAAAGCAUCCCAACAUAUUUCCUCUAGGUCAAAUACAACUGUGAACUCUUGUGAAUGAUUAUGGCAUCCCAAAAGAUUUCCUCUACUACAAAAGCAGCUGAGAUCUCGGGUAAACGAUGAUGGCGUCCAGACGGAUUUCAGCUAUACCAAAGACAACUGUAAACUAGGACAACAAUAAUAAUAAUGUCCAACUAGACUUCCUCCAUGUGAAAGACAACUGUAAAAUCGAUCAAUGAUGUUGGUGCCCCAGUGGACUUCCUCUUGUCAAUGAUAAUGACAUCCCAACAGAUUUCUUCUACACAAUGGAGAAACAUAGCUCAUGGUCUGAAGAAGAUUCCUAUCCAUGUUCGGAACUCGGGCAUUGAUGAUGGCAUCCCAGUGGAUGUCCUCUACAUCAAAGACAACUGUGAACUUGGGUUAUCAAUGAUGGUGACCCAUUGGAUGUCCUCUACAUCAAAGACAACUGUGAACUCAGGUUAUCAAUGAUUGCAAGGUCCUCUACAUCAAAGACAACUAUGAACUUGGGUUAUCAAUGACGGUGACCCAUUCGAUGUUCGGUACACCAUAGACAACUUUGAACAUGGGUUAUCAAUGACGGUGACCCAUUGGAUGUCCUCUGCAUCAAAGACAACUGUGAACUCGCGUUAUCAAUGAUGGUGACCCAUUGGAUGUCCGGUACACCAAAGACAGCUGUGAACUUGGUCAAUGAUGAUGGUAUCCCAAAAGAUUGCCUAAAGAUAUGUCAAGGACGACUUUGAGUUAUCAAGACUGAAUAUAGGCAGGAGUCGUGAACACAUGCAGAAUGGACGUCUCUUGCCAGACUUCAACUACCAGGUGCCUCUUUGAAUGUAACAGUGCAUGCAAGUGCUGGACGAACUGUCGCAAUCGCUUCAUACGGUACGGCUUCAGGAUAGAAAUGCAGAUGUUUUCCCUAGUUCUACGAUGGGAUGAGCUUUAGGAUGCAGGAUGUUCCUUGAGGCUCUUUUCUAUAUGAAGCUCUCCUGAAUGCAAGACUACCAUAUAGCAAGGAUGGCAACGUCACAUCACAUCGUUCCAGAGGCGACGGAUGACAACGGAUACAAUGUCUCAGGUUCAACAGGAGGUUGUGACAGAUGACAAAGAUGACUUGACGGUGCUCUCCUUGUGCUUGCCAGUGAUCCCUUCCAAGAGAACUUCCAGUAUCGCGUUCAGGACCAGGGCCCCGUCUUACAAAGAGUUACGAUUGAUCCAAUCAAUGGUAACUCUAUGGAAAUCCAUCAGUGUCAUAAAUUUUUCUACAGGAAAUAAGCUCAUUCUCCUUCGGAAACAAAGAGAAUCACACUGAAUCUUCAAGAAAAUUAUGAAUGUAUGAAUAUACAUCGUAUCUAGAAAAUAUUUUGAACAAAUUUGCAUUUUAGAUGUUGACGUUGCUGGCCUUCCAUAAUUGUGGUUGAUUGGACCAAUCAUAACUCUUUGUAAGACGGGACCUAGAAGAUUUGAGAUCAUGCUAUGCAGCUAAAGAUCUGUAAUGCCUGUCGCACACUACACAAUCUUUUUGUGAUCCAAUUUUUUGAAAAAAAAGUUGUAAUAUUGUUCAACCUUACCUUUACAACUUACAAAUCUUAACGAAUAUCAAAAUUGAAAUUUCAAUCAAUUAUGAGCCUCCUUUGAAGGAAUAAAAGCGAUGUCAUACAAAUCACAUCAUCGGCUACAAUUUGAAGCCAAUUUACUCUGACCACAAGGUUUGCAGAGAAACAAUGUUUUGUUUUUCAUAUUCCUGGAUUAUUCCAAACUUCUUAAAAGAUAAUUUUACUUUUAUAAGUUUCAUAUUUAAUGCAAAAUUAUGAUGUUUUAAAAAAUUGGGUCGCAGAUGGAUUACAUAGUGUGCGUUGGGCUUAACAGAACAUCAGAGAUCAAGAUGGAGAGUGAGACCAUUAGACUGGCUUUCAUAAAGGGCAAGUCCACUGCAACAAAAAGUUAAUUCGAAUAAAAUUACAAAAUCAAACAAGGGUAAUGCUGGAAAUUUCAUCAAAAUUAGAUGUAAAAUAUGAAAGUUAUGAUAUAUUAAAGUUUCAUAAAACAGUUAUAUGCAAUUCCUGGCUGGUAUGCAAAUUUUUUAUGAGGAGACUGAUGACAUCAACCCUUACUAUGUCUUUUUUAUUUUAUGAUAUGAGUAUGAAAUAUUGUUAUUUUCUCAUUAUAAUGUUAAAGAAUGUUCUCCCAGAACAUGUGGAAUUACCAUUGCGGUAUUAAACCUAUUAUGAUUUGAUGAAAUACCUUGUUAUUGUCAAAUAUGCCCCCAAAAAUGAAAUAUAGUAUAAUUCAUUGAAGAAAAAAAAUUGCAUAUCUCUGGGUUGGGCAUAUUUUAUAUAAAUAAGCAAAAUUCUUAAGUGUAAUAGUUUUCUUGUUUGACAUCAGAUUUUGAUGAAAUUUUCUGUGUGCUAAUGUUAAUUAAAAAAAAAAAUUUAAUCAACUAUUUUGUGGGUUGACUUGCCCUUUUAACCCUAACUUACUGGGGGAGGGGGCCUUUUAAGCCCCCCUUGACAUUUUUGCGCAAGAUAUCCGCUGUGCAAAAUUUUUGACCAUGCCGCUCUCUAUAUCUUUGAGACCAAGCUUGUGAUGCCCGGACACACUGCAGUUACAAAAUUAUGCAACAUAGCAGAACAAAAUUGCUCAAAAAACGUAUAUCAUGUACAGGAUUAAUAUAAAAUAUGUUUCAUCUAGAAUUCAUAUAUGAGUGAUUAUUCUCACUUUGAUAUUUUGACAAGCCAUUUGAUUUGAUGCUUUUUAUGACUGAAAUCAUGUCCCUGAUGAAUUUUUUUGAAAAAACAUUAGAAAAAGAGAUGAAAAAACAAUAAAAUACAGAAGAAAUUGAUUCGGUAGCGGAUUUUUUUCACUUGCAGUUAGGAAUGCCACAGAAUAUUUUACAAAGAAUUUAGCUCUCUAGGAGCUUUAUUUAUUGAAUAAUAGCAAAAAGUAUGAUUUCAUGAAUAAAUUAGCAUAAUUAAUUCAGAUUUUAAAAAGUGAAUUUGUUGCAAGUUACCAAUUCAACGGCAUAUAUCAUUUCAUUCUCUACCUUCAUGCAAAUUUUCGUCGCGAUCCGCGGCCAGGAUCUUAGGGGGACCCUAAAAGGCCACCCCCCCCCCCCCGUACCUACUUUAAGCUCACAAAAUAACCAGGUAAGUUAGGGUUAAAUGGUGGUGAAAUAGAUGUACAUGUAUAUAUUGGUAUUCUGUUAUGCAUGUAACGGGGAAGUUCACCCUGACAAAAAAAAUUGUUGUAACAAUAGCAGAAAAAAUAAUGCCGAAGGUUUGAGAAAAAUUUGUCAAAGAAUUGAUUAUAGCAAAUGGUUAAAAAAUAUCAAUGAAAUGUCAUAUUCUCAGAAAAUUGACAAUGUUUUUACUGUACCUUUUGUAUAUCAAUAGACAAAUCAUUUCACACCUGAUCAUGAAAAGAAAAUUAAAAAUAUGUAAUCAGGGACCAUU